GUUUAUUCUUAACAAAGAGUAAAAUCAGGUUGUUAUGGUGUAAAUAGAGAAAUUUUAAUCGAGGCUAGAAAGAUUUAGUUAAAAACUAGGAUUAGAUACCCUACUAUUCUAAAUUGAAAUAAAAAUUGCUAAAUUAGUAAUAGUUAGUUACUUAAAAGUUAAAAAAUUUGGCGGUGACUCAAUCCUCCCAGAGGAACUUGUUUCUUAAUCGAUAAUCCACGCAAAAUCUUACUUAUCCUUGUAAAUAGCAGCUUGUAUACCAUCAUUAUCAGGUAAUUUUAAAAGAAAAAAUUACUAAAUAAGAAUUUAUUACAAAAAUUAGAUCAUGGUGCAGCGCAUGGGUAAGUCGAAAUGAGUUACAAUAAAUUAUUUUAUAUGAAACUGCGAAGGAAUAGUUGUAGGGAAGGUGGAUUUGGUUGUACUUCUAAUUUAAUAAGUUAGCAAGAUAUUGGUUCUGAGUCAUGUACAUAUCGCCCGUCGCUUUCGU
rnacentral:rRNA from 1 species